AUUGAACGCUGGCGGCAUGCCUUACACAUGCAAGUCGAACGGUAACAGGUCUUCGGAUGCUGACGAGUGGCGAACGGGUGAGUAAUACAUCGGAACGUGCCCGAUCGUGGGGGAUAACUACUCGAAAGAGUAGCUAAUACCGCAUACGAUCUACGGAUGAAAGCGGGGGAUCUUCGGACCUCGUGCGGACGGAGCGGCCGAUGGCAGAUUAGGUAGUUGGUGGGAUAAAAGCUUACCAAGCCGACGAUCUGUAGCUGGUCGGAGAGGACGACCAGCCACACUGGGACUGAGACACGGCCCAGACUCCUACGGGAGGCAGCAGUGGGGAAUUUUGGACAAUGGGCGAAAGCCUGAUCCAGCAAUGCCGCGUGCAGGAUGAAGGCCUUCGGGUUGUAAACUGCUUUUGUACGGAACGAAAAGACUCCUUCUAAUACAGGGGGUCCAUGACGGUACCGUAAGAAUAAGCACCGGCUAACUACGUGCCAGCCGCCGCCGUAA
rnacentral:rRNA from 1 species